GUUUUAAGUUGUUGCAGUUAAAAGCUCGUAGUUGGAUUGGCAAGGUCCUUAGAAAUCCGCCCCUUCAGGGAGCGGGUUGCUGGCCUCCUAUGUUCCUAACGGUCCUCGUCCGCGAGGGCGGGGAAUCAACCGCUAGGAUCGUUUACUUUGAGGAAAUUAGAGUGUUCAAAGCAGGCGUAACUCGCCUCCGAAUACGUUAGCAUGGGAUAAUGGAAUACGACUUCGGUCUUGUUUCGUUGGUUUCGCUUGGCUGAAGUAAUGAUUGAUAGGGACAGUUGGGGGCAUUAGUAUUUAGUUGUCAGAGGUGAAAUUCUAGGAUUUACUAAAGACUGACCAAUGCGAAAGCAUUUGCCAAGGAUGUUUUCAUUAAUCNAGAACGAAAGUAGGGGGAUCGAAGACGAUCAAUACCCGUCGUAAUUCUCUACCCGUAAACUUUGGCCGACCAGGGAUCGGGAAAUUUGCAUGGAUAACCCCCCCCGGCCCCCUUUGGAAAACCAAAUUUUUUGGUUUUUUGGGGGGAAAAUUGGGCCCCCAAGGGUACUUUUUAGGGAAUUUGGCCGGGGGGGGCCCCCCCCCCCGGGGGGGG
rnacentral:rRNA from 1 species